GACGUAGGAGGCGAGCGUUGUCCGGAUUCAUUGGGCGUAAAGAGCGCGCAGGCGGCUCGGUAAGUCGGAUGUGAAAACCCGAGGCUCAACCUCGGGCGUGCAUCCGAAACUGCUCGGCUAGAGGUAGGUAGGGGAGAUCGGAAUUCCUGGUGUAGCGGUGAAAUGCGCAGAUAUCAGGAGGAACACCGGUGGCGAAGGCGGAUCUCUGGGCCUUACCUGACGCUCAGGCGCGAAAGCUAGGGGAGCGAACUGG
rnacentral:rRNA from 1 species